UUCGACACCUACCCAAGUGUGCGCUGGACAAGAGUGGAAACAUGUUUCUUGCAGUGGGUCACAGCCAAAAGUCUGAGAAACUUUCAGAGGGGCACUGCGUGAACUCCAUCUGUGUGUGUGGAUGUGAGGUGUGCGUGGACGUGGUCCUCUCCUUAAGGAUUUUUCUUGAAGGAACUCUGAGCCUUCAAAAUGUUUAUUGAAACAUCACUCAGAAAAUUUCCCCUGUUGAUCAGACUCUCACGUCCUUUCUGAGAAGAAGACCUCGGAUGCACUCUCUGGGCCUCACCUGGGGAAAGGUGCCACCAGGUGGGCAAUGUGCCAAACACCAAGAGACACUUCCACCCAUGGCCACUAGGUGGGGACACGCGGCUGUGAUCACGGAGUGACCCUGUUAGAACUAAUGGGGUGAUCUACCAGGCUCAAAGAAUGUGGUUCACUUUGAUCACUUCCCGUACUUCUGGCAGCAACCCCAGGUCAUGUGCUCCUGUCAGCCCCAUUCUGUGGCUGGGAGUAAAGAAGCUGUGAGGUGUUCUAGAACCUGUCCAGUGAAGUGUGGCUGUUGAGUGUGGGAUGAGCGUGCCAUUCCUGCCGGGGACUCCAGGCCUGGCCAAGCCAGAACAGCUCCGGCCUCUAGGUGUGGCUCCAGGACAAUCAACCCUAGGGGAGAGCAGCUGAGGCCACACUCGUCAAAGUUGCAGAGGAAGUUUCUCUGGCAGUCAGCCUGCUCCCUCUACUUGUCUCUGUUGGUGGAGACCGAACACAAAGUGCAGUGACUCAGAAGCCUUUGAGAGGGUGACUGGGGGCCUGGCCACCGCAAGGCACAGAGGCAGUGAGAUGGAUCGACCCAAAACGACAGUGUGCUGGGGAAAGAAGAAAUCAAGGCAGAAGGAAGAAGAAAAUGAACUCCAAGAAAUUCUGCCCAGUGAGCCUCAACAGCCCAAAGACCGUUUUUCAAAAUUCAGUGGGUGGCUUAUGAAAGUCCCCAGGAAAAGAAAACCAGACACUGCUAUUCAUCAGAAAGAAACUCCCAAAGACUUCCAAAAGUUGGUACAGAAGGGGCAGUUCCUGGAAGCCUGCCAGAGCAUCUCGGAGUUGUCACAGGAAGGGCAGGACUGUGGUCUCCAGUACAAGGUUGUGGCUGAGAGCAUGUGGCAGGUCAUCAAGGAGGCUCUGGGAGGCAUUGGGUACAGCCAGAAGCUGGAGCUAAAGCUCCAGGCAGUGGUGGCCACUGUGGAGUGGGUGGAGGACAACCCCCAGAGCUGGGAGGCCAGCGCCCUCGAGGAUGGUGGAGUUGCUUUCUGGGGAAGUCAUCUGGAGAGGCUCCUGAGAACAGAUGCUGAGGACCAAUUGCCCACUAUGAAGCCAAGCACCCAGCUGCGCCCGUACCUGAAGGAGCUGGACAAAGCUGUGGGACACAGCCUAGGGUCCCAGAGGGCAGGCCGGAUGGGGGACCCCCUCUGGGAAAUCUACAGGACGUGUUUCCAGGAGGUCCUCCUCAGCCGCCUCUCCGAGCUCCCUUCCUCCUACAGUCACGACAGGGAAGCCUACUUUGAGCUGUACAACUGGGGCAAGACGACCUUGUUUGGGCAGCUGGGCAGGGAGAUGCUUCAGAGAGUAGGUCCCACCUCCCAGAAGUCCAUGGCCGGGAACCUCUUGGACUCAAUGAUGUUCAUUACCUGGAUGUUCCAAAUGCAGGAGAAGCUGGUGGGGCUGAUCCAGGAGGAGUUGAAAAAGUGUCUAGAAAAUGUUCUGAUCUGUGAUCAGAAAAAGUGGACCGAGUCUGCCUCCUCAGUGUUCCUUGAAAUCUACCAGCUACUGAAAGAAGCUGUAGAUGCAGUCCGACACAUUGGGCCAUCCGUCACCAGACGGGUUCAAGCCAUGGUUCUGGAAACAUUUUCAAAGUUUCUGGAAAGCUACAAGGAUAAGGCUGAAGUCUUCAUCCAGCAGAACACCAGUGACCACACCUUUCCCGAGCUGCAUGUGCUGGAAAACUGCUGCAUCCUCAGGAAGACAUGGUGGUGGCUGAGCAGGGCGCACGUUCCCUGGGCACGCUUGGACCCAGCUGUGCAAGGUGCCAUCAAAGUCAUUGAGGACCAUGGCCGGGACCACCUCCUGCCUCGAGUCAGAGCCCUGUGCCAGGUGAUGUCCCGCACCCCAGCCCUGGCCUGGGGUCAUUUCUGCUCCCAGAGAAGGCUGGGCAGGAGGCCUGUCUCCCUGGCUUCCGUCCAGCCCAACAGAGCCUUUACUGGGACAGGACAUGGCAAAGUGCCAGCGAUGGAACCUGGUUGGAGAUGUCUCUGUCAGUCCUCCUGCCCUCCCCAGCCCUGAGUCCUGUGUGUGGAGCAGGAGAAGGACAGGGUCAGCUUCCUGUCUGGCCCGAGGGAGGGGCCCUGUCUGGGGGAGAGGGCUGGGGUGGGCCUGCAGCCCCUCAUGAGGCCUGGCUCCAUCCUCACCGAGGGCACCUCCCUGGGCAGGGUCCACAUUUGUGUCCCUCUGUCACCUCAGCCAGACCUGCUCCUUCUUCUCUCUUCCUGUGAAAUCAUUCAUUCUGCCAGGCCAGCUGAGGCCUGGCACUCGCUCCUCCAGGCCCGACUCCCUUCCCCCUCCCCCUGAUCCCAGCUCUGAGCCACGGGCAUCCCUAGGCAGGCGAAGCCCCCUGCACUGAGUUCCCAGGGCCUCCAUGCCCGUUCAUCUUUGCCUUCCCCUGAGCUGUGGCUGCCUUCAAGGCAGGGCCUUGCCCAGGAUUCAGGGCUCCCCGUGGAUGCCUGGGGCCUGACCCUGGAGAUGAAGCCCUGAGAGGGCAAGGGGUCCCCCAGGAUAUGGGAACCACAGGUGAGUUUCCCAUUCAAAUUCAGGGUUUGAGGCCUCCCGGGAUCCAUUCAACUUCUGGCUGAGGGCAAGGCCCACACUGGCCCUCUCUUCACAGGGACCUCCUGGCUGGGAAGAUGGGAGGUGCUGGUGAGGGUGGGUCUGCAUUGCUGCAGCUUUGUCCAAGGAUCCAUUUUCCACUGUGGGGACCAGCUUCUGAGGCAGCUGCCACUGAAUUUUCUACAGAGAUCUGAGCACCUGGCUCAGGGUGGCAUGGGAAGACCCAGAGGUGGAGAGACCUAGAGAGUUCAUCUCCUCUAGGGACAAGAAAAGCACAGCAUGCACACUGCCCUUGCCUCACGCUGAGGUGUGGCACACAUUGCCCAUCAAUCCCAACAUUCUUCUCAGGGCCCAGAUGGAGGCCCAGGCUCCUUCUCCACCCAGAGGUCCCAGCAGCCACGGCCAAUCAUGGACUUGGCUUCACAUUUCCUAGAUGAUGCUGACGAGGCUGCAUCACACAGAUUGGGCCCUGAGGGUCAUAGUGGGAAUGGGACUUGUUCAGGUCCCCUGAGUAGACACUCAGCAGGCUGGUUUUGCCUCCCCCACCCACCCACCUUUGGCAUCCACUGAGAACUGAGCAGACUGGGGCUGCAUGUGGGUGGAGCAGCUGUGGUUCUCGCCACCCCAUGUCUCUGGAGCUUAGCUCUGAGGGGAGCAAGCAUCGUCGGGGGCUCCCGCCAUGCCUCGGUGGUCACGGAGAGAGGGGAGGGACUCGGGAGGACUCGGGAGGGCUCUGAGAGAAGCUCGAGUCCAGGGCUGCUGUUUGAACCUGGGGCCCUCCCAGGAGUUGGCAGGAGAAGGGUGGACAGAGUUUUGGGGCAGAAAGUGGGCAAACCUCUGGCUCCCUCGGUGUGGGCCCUUCUGGUCCAGGACUGUGGGUCCAGCAGAGAAAGGUGGGUGUCACAGAGCUGGAGGGGGAAAGGAUGAGGGCCGGAGAAAUUAUAGCCAGCCUGGGCGCCUCGGGCUGUGGUGACAUCCGACCCUCCUGUCCUCAGAGUCUGCUGAGUUGUCACUUCGGAGAGAAGAACAAGGAUCUGGUCCAAUCUCUGCGGUCCCUGUGGCAGAGCCUGGAGCACUGCCCCAACAUGCACCCUACUCCCACAUACGAGAGCCUUGUGAGGAGUCUGAAUAUGGUGGUCUUUGGGGAGUACGUCCAGGCCCUGGCUGCUUAUCUCAGGAGGCUGGUGCCCAGGACUUCGGGGCACCUCCGUGCUCAGGUGGAAACGGACAUCUGGAAGCUGGGCACCACCUUUAGGGAGCACAGGGGCCCAGCUUUGGACGAUCUACAGGAGUACAUCCUCCAGCUCAGUGAGAGCAGAGACAGACAGACUGUGGAUCAGUGGCUGGCCUCCUUCAGUGACAGUUUCCCUGGUUAUCUGAGACAGGGCAGAUCCACGGCUGUGGAGGAGGAGACUGCGAUCAGGGGACGCUCCUCAUUCUGCUGCAGACUUCUCCAGAACUUAAGGGCCUGCUGGCACCGUUGCUGCCCUAGCAGACGUGGAUGUGAGCUCUAGUUUCAGGAAUCUGCUUGUUCUUGGGGCUGUGGGAGUUAUGUGGCCCCGGUACCCAGCUAAAGCUAAGGAUCUGGGCGCCCCUGGCCACUGGAUGGCCACUUCACAAAUGGCAGCCUGAUAUCUAGAAGGAAGCCGAUCCUUCUCAAUUCUGGAUUCUUCAAUCAGAAAGAACUCUGAGAACUGACUGCAGCUAUCACAGACACCGGGCGAUGAAAGGCCGGCACAGUCAGUGAUCAACCCAGAAGAACGGGAGGGCAACAGGGAUGGCCAAGGACAGAUUAAGACACUCCUGGCUUGGAACGUGGUGGGAAGGAAGACACCCUGGAGGGAGAGUGAGGACGAGAGGGGCUAAGAAGAAAGCUAGAGCCCAAAGGAAGUUCCUCCCCAUCCUGGCUGCAUCGUGUGCCUUUCUUGUGCAUGUAACAACUUUAUUGAGAUACAGGUUACAUAGCACGCAAGUCACUCACUUAACUUUAAUGCACCAUUUGAUGGCUUUUGGUAUAUUCGCAGACUCGUGCAGCCACACCACAAUAAAUUCUAGAACAUUUUCAUUACCCUAGAAAGAGACCCCGUACCCGUCAGCUAUUAACCCCAAUCCCUCUUCCCCGCCCUCCCCCCAGCCCUAAGCAACUGCUACUCUACUUUCUGUUUGUAUAGAUGUGCCUCUUCUGGGCAUUUUUUCUAACUGAAUUGUGUAAUAUGUGGUCUUUUGUGAUUUGCUUCUUUCACUUAGCAUCAUGUUUCAUGGUUCGUCGAUAUCGUGACAUGUAUCAGUAUUUUAUUCCUUUUUAGAGCUGAACAGUAUUCCACUAUAUGGAUAGUCCAUGCUUUGUUUAUCCAUUCAUCCACUGACAGACAUUUGAGUUGUUUCCACUUUGGGGCUAUUAUGAAUAAUGCUGCUGUGAACUUUUGUGUGCAAAUUUGCGUGUGGCCCUGUGUUUUCAGUCCUCCUGUGUUCUACUUAGGCAUGGAAUUGCUGGAUCAAAUGGAACUCCAUGUUUAACUCUCUGAGAACUAGACUAUUUUUCCAAAAUGGUUGCACCAUUUUACAUUCUCACCAGUAAUAUAUGAGGGUUUCAAUUUCUCUACAUCCUCAUCAACACUUUUCAUUAUCUAACUUUUGCAUGAUAGCCAUCAUAGUGGGUAUGAAAUGGCAUCUCAUCGUGAUUUUGGUUUGCACUUCUCUGAUGGCUAAUGAUGUUGAGCAUCUUUUCCUGUUCCCUGAGGGGCCAUUUGUGUUUCUUCUUUGAGAAUUGUCUACUCAGAUCCUUUGCCCAUUUUUUUUUUUUUAAAGAUUUUAUUUUUUUCCUUUUUCUCCCCAAAGCUGCCUGGUACAUAGUUGUAUAUUCUUCGUUGUGGGUCCUUCUAGUUGUGGCAUGUGGGACGCUGCCUCAGCAUGGCCUGAUGAGCGGUGCCAUGUCCGCGCCCAGGAUUCAAACCAACGAAACACUGGGCCGCCUGCAGUGGAGUGCGCGAACUUAACCACUGGGCCACGGGGCCAGCCCCUCUUUGCCCAUUUUUAAUUUGGUUGUUUGUCUUUUUAUUGCUGAGUUGUAAGAGUUCUUCAUAUAUUCUAGAUUCAAGUCCCUAUAAGAUACGUGAUUUGCAAAAAUUUUAUCCCGUUUGGUAGAUUGUCUUUUCACUUUCUCGAUAGCGUCCUUUGAAGCACAAAAAUUUUAAACUUAUCUUUUUCUUUUGUUGCUCGCACUUUUAGUGUCAUAUCUAAGAUAUGAUUGCCAACUCCAAAAUUAUGAAGAUGUGCUCCUGUUUUCUUCUAAGAGUUUUAUAGGUUUAGCUGCUCUACUUGACACCGUCAGGGGUAAUUUUGGAUAUGACAUGGGGUAGGGCUCAACUUCAUUCUUUUGCACAUGGCUCUCCAGUUAUCUCAGCACCGUGCGCUGAACAACUAUUCUCUCCCCCAUUGAAUUGUCUUGGCACUCUUGUCAAGGGUUGGAGGAGUGGGGUCCAGGAAGUCUUCUCAAAGGAGGGACAGACACCCCAUUCCCGUCAGGUGGGAAGGAGGGUAGGAAUUUGCCAGAGGACGAAGGAAGGGUAAGGAGGGAAUGACGGGAGAAAUCAGCUGGGGUGAAGGCCAGGAGGUGGGAGCCAGAGGUGGGUCGGCGUGGCUGAGGCUGGGUAGAGGGGCAGGGAAUGGUGUGGUCAGACGAGUUCUCAUGAGCCCUUGUCCAGGCCAGAGACUUGGACUCUGGUCCUGUGGCAGCUGGAACUGAAGGGCUUCCAUCAAGGGUGACCCCGUUGUGGGACGGUUGCCCUGGCAGCUGCUGGCAGAGGAUGGAGGGGAGUGGCCAGGAUGGCGUGACCCUCUGCUUGUGGGACUCAGCCCCUCUGUCUGUCUGUCUGGGAGACAGAGGAGGGAACUGUCAUUGCUGUGUCACUUGCAUAGUCUCAUCUGCUCUGUCUCCUCCCUGACAACCUUUUGAAAUGGAUCUGUCACCAUUUUGACAGAUGAGAAGACUGAGGAUCAGCGGGCAGAGUGACUUCAGGGUCACCCUGCUUUUCAGCAUUGAUAUUGGGACAAACCCAGGACUGCCCCACCCCUCAGUCUCCUGAGUGUUCAGUUGUCUCCUGUGCCUGAAGAGUGGUCUGUAGGGUGCCCCAGCGUCCACCAGAGGGCGCCAAAACCAAGAUUGCCUGAUGCAGCCCCCUCCCCCACGGACUCAGCAUCUCAGGGGCAGCCUUCUCCCCACCCCCCCUUGACUGAGAGUCCCAGAGGCGGCCCCCAACCCUAGCCCCCGUCAAAGGUUGGCCCCAGUCUGGGCUUCAGAGAACUCAGACCUCACGUCCAGGGUGCUCUCAGGCCCCCUGUCAUCCCAAGAUAACAGGGUGGAUUGGGGCUGGGCCAAAGGAUGGGGGAUGUGGGAACCCCAGGCAGUGACCAAGAAGGAGCCCCUUCACUGUCCCUAAACAUUUGGCAAACUCUCCAAAAUCUUGGAGAGGCUCUGGAGUGUGGCCACUUGAAGCCCUGCGUCUGGGCCAAGCCUCUGCAGGGAUCUGGGCUGCUCUGGGACAGGGUUUCCCUGCCUGGCAGCAGCUGGUCAGGAGGAAUCCUUGUCAUCCCCACCCACAGCCCCAGGGUCACAUUGCCGUGAGGGCAGUCUCAUGUCCACCAUCCUGGAACUAGCCUGCUGAUCUCUCCCUCCUGCCAGCCAGGGAGAUCAUGUAGAGCUGCCUGUGACCUGGGGCUGCCCACACUGUGACCUCACAGUGUCCUAAGAUCUCAAGGAGGACAGGAAGCCAGGCCAAGCAGCCUGCCCCUUGCCCCCUCCUGGUGCCUCUCCCAGCUCCAGAUGGGUGGCCAGGAUGUGACAGGACCCAGGCCAGAGAAAGAGACAUGAGGGUGUCACAAGGGGCUGGUGGGGACAUCUGGGGGCUACUUGAAAGGGUCCCCAGGAGGGACCCAUGCUUCUCCGUGCAGGACGAUGGAGGAGUUGUUCAGCAUCUUUCCACUAUGAGGGCAAUGCCGCAAGAAUCGUGGAGGAGAGACCUGGAGCCUGGGCUCCCCUGGUCCCAGGAAUUAACCAAUCCCAGGACCACCGAGUUGGUGAGCUGUAGCCAAAAGCAUCCAGAAGAUGCAUGUCCUCACCCAGAGGCAGCGCGCCCCACCCACCCCCACCACGGACUCACAUUCCUCAUGGGGCUCACCCCGCUGAGGUGACUGCGUGACUGGAGCGCUAUCCUGCUCUUGGGUGGUUUGAUAAUUUUAUGACAAUAUCACCCAAAUAAGCUGCAAAUCCAAAGUCAUCUCUAUCAAAAUGCCAUGUAGAUCUUUGGAGAAGCUCAGUAAACCUACGCUACAACAGAAGGACCAUGUCACCAAACAGUGAAGUCACCAUAAAAAUGGAGAAUAUCUGAUGGGAAGACCCUACGAAUUCAUGGUCAGAGAACAGUUUCUUCUAACUGCACAAGAGGGCAGGGAGCUGGAGGUGGGGCUGGGGGGUAGGAGACCCUCACCUCGUACUCAGGGGCACUACCACCAAGAGGUGAAGAGCCAACUGUGUGGGAAAUGGUGUUGGGCGCUGGAUCACUACAUGGAGAAAGUAAACAUGGCCUUGACUUAACGCUGCACACAGAGGUGGGCUCCAGAGAGAAUCAAGACCCGAAUGUAAAAGGCAACAAUUUGAAGUUAGAAGCAAGUGUAGGAGAAUCUUUGUAACAUCUGAGCAAGGAAGAAUUUCUUACACAAAGAUCCCAAAGCAUAAUCCAUAAGGCAAAAAACAAUGACAAAUCUGAUUCCAUCAAAACUAGCACUUCUUGCCAAUGGACACCAUGGACAAGUUAGAAAGAGAUAAGAGGAUGGGAGAGAGACUUGCAAAGUCUGAAAUUAAGAGACCCGUAUCACUGGAAUGGACAGGAACGCCUGUGAAUCAUCAAGGCUGAUGGACGGGGCAGUGAGUGAGGCAGGGGCUUUGUUGGGACCUCAGGGUGUGUGUGUGUGUGUGUGUGCACGCGUGUGUGCAUGUGCGGGGGGUGAGGGGCAGGGAACGUUCCUGGGACCAGGAAGAGUGUGUAUCUGUAUUAGCUUCAUGUUCCUGCUGUAACAAACUGGGUGGUUCUAAAAACAGAAAUUUAUUCUCUCCCCAUCCUGAAGGCUAUAAGUCUGAAAUUGAGGUGUCGGCAGGGCUGUGCUCCCUCCAAAGGCUCCAGGGGAGGCUCCUUUUUGGCCUCUUGCAGCUUCUGGUGGCUGCCCCGGUCCUUUCACUCGAGGUGGCCUCAGUCCUCACAUGGCCUCCUCCUCUGUGUGUGUCAAAUCUCCCUCUGCCUCCCUUGAGUAAGGACACAUAGGAUAUCAUUUAGGGCCCACCCAGAUAAUUCAGGAUAAUCCAGGAUAAUCUGCCCAUCUCAAGAGCCUUAAUUUAUUAAAAUCUUCAAAGAUGUUGACAUAUAAGGACAUGGGCAUGGUUCCGUGGAUGAGGACUUGGUAUCUUUGGGGGCCAUGGUUCAGCCCACCACAGUGUCCCAGCCAGUGCAGAGCAGGAAGGCACCCAGCUCUCCCUCCCAGCCUGAUCUCACUCCCUCUGCGCCCUGAGGCUGCCUCAACUCUGCCUUCCCCUGCUUGUCGCCUGACUGAAUGACUGAUGGAGCUUGUGUUGAGACCAAGAUUCUGUGUUCAAUGAUCCAGGAGGAAACAGAGUGCAGAUAGGGGCAGGGGGAGCUCAGGGUCCCAGGGCACAGAGUGAGGAGCUGCCCCUCUGAGAUCCCCUUGUUGUCACUAUCACCCACUAGAAUGGAGCACUGAUUAGGUUCCAGGCACUGUGCUAAGCUGAGCCUGGUGGUCUCCCCUUACCCUCAUCUGCAUCCUAUGAAGAGCUACCCUUCUCACACUCAUUUCCUACUUGUCCUGUUCAAGGCUGCAUACUGAACCUGAGAUCGGAACCACACAGCCCAGUGGGAGCCCCAGUGUUAACAGACAGAACAGGAAAAGUAUGUAGAGCAUCUUUACAGCCUGCCCCACCCCCCUAAGCUACAGCUCUUCACCCAUCAGUCCCACAGAAAUGAAGGGCUGGCAGCACCUGGUGUCGGGGAAGGUGUGAGGGGACGGGCAUGGGCUACACAGGUUCCUCUGAUGGAACACGGCUUCGGUUGAAGACUUUCCACCAAACCAUCUGGAAAAGAUAAGCCGCUUUCAGUGAGCACCCCCUUUUUCAUGUGACUACCAAGCACACUAGAUAAAUUUGCCAUAAAAGCGACAUUUUGACGCUUUGAUUUGGGCACAGACAUGCCCAUCAAUUUGGUCAUCAUAGCAAUUUCUAGUCAAAGAAAGUCGUGGGGAGCCAAUGUGAACUGUGCCCCUGUCUGGAAGACCCCAAAUGUACUGCUUCUCAUAGACCUGCCAGGUGAGGGGACACAGUGGGCGCCUCUUCCACACUCUCCCAUCUGCUGGGUGGUGAGGUUUUUUUCCGUGUCUUUGACAGCAUUCCUGUGUUUUGCCUUAUCGAUUUUGUGUGUGUGCAAUAACUUUGUUAUUUAUUUAUUUUUUAAAGAUUGGCACCUAGGCUAACAACUAUUGCCAAUCUUUUUUUUUUUUUUCUGCUUUAUCUCCCCAACCUCCCCCCCCCCCCAACACACAGUUGUAUAUCUUAGUUGCAAGUCCUUCUAGUUGUGGGAUGUGGGAUGCCGCCUCAACGUGGCCUGACAAGCAGUGCCAUGUCUGCGCCCAGGAUCUGAACCCUGGGCCGCCACAGUGGAGCAUGCGAACUUAACCAUUCGGCCACGGAGCCAGCCCCAGUAAUAACUUUAUUUUUAAGUAUAGCUUCAGUGAAAGAUAAAGAUAAGCCUCUCCCAGUGGUUGAAACAUUGGUAAAGAAAAUGGUGUGGAAAGAACGUGUCUUCUGAAGAAUAACUCCCUUGCACCUGCCUUCAUCAGCCACCACCUGUCAUCAAGUCUUCUGUACCACCUUUGUGGGCAAAGUAAUUCUUAAUUACAUUAAAUUUUAUGUACAAGUGGUAUUUAUUUACUUUGAAAUUAUUGAAGCUGUUCCUUACUUUUUUUAAAUCGUUUUUCAUUGUUCAACCAAUGUGUUUUUCUACAUGUGAAAAUUGUUUGACUAUCUUGGAUUGGGAUAGAAUAGAGCAUUUUCUUCCAUUAAAUUGAUAGAAAUAUUUAAAAAUUUUAAUGGCUUGUUAUUUAGCAUCAGAGUUUUCAGGAAUGAAUUAACUUGUUAAGUGUGAGAUAUGUGCAUUAGAAAAACAUCACUCUUGAGAAGUCAGAAGAACAGUAUGUUAAACUGAAAAAUAGAAAGAAACAUAGAGGUAAGAUCAGAAAUUGG
ensembl:lncRNA